AUACGGAGGGUGCAAGCGUUAAUCGGAAUUACUGGGCGUAAAGCGCGCGUAGGCGGAUAUUUAAGUCUCAUGUGAAAGCCCUGGGCUCAACCUGGGAACUGCAUGGGAUACUGGGUAUCUAGAAUACAGUAGAGGGUAGUGGAAUUUCAGGUGUAGCGGUGAAAUGCGUAGAGAUCUGAAGGAACAUCAGUGGCGAAGGCGACUACCUGGACUGAUAUUGCCGCUGAGGUGCGAAAGCGUGGGGAGCAAACGGGAUUAGAAACCCUUGUAGUCC
rnacentral:rRNA from 1 species